rnacentral:rRNA from 1 species
AUGAACGCUGGCGGCGUGCCUAACACAUGCAAGUCGAACGAAGCACUUUUUCUUGAUUCUUCGGAUGAAAGAGAUUGUGACUGAGUGGCGGACGGGUGAGUAACGCGUAGGUAACCUGCCUCAUACAGGGGGAUAACAGUUAGAAAUGACUGCUAAUACCGCAUAAGCGCACAGUAUCGCAUGAUACAGUGUGAAAAACUCCGGUGGUAUGAGAUGGACCCGCGUCUGAUUAGCUAGUUGGUGGGGUAACGGCCUACCAAGGCGACGAUCAGUAGCCGACCUGAGAGGGUGACCGGCCACAUUGGGACUGAGACACGGCCCAAACUCCUACGGGAGGCAGCAGUGGGGAAUAUUGCACAAUGGGCGAAAGCCUGAUGCAGCGACGCCGCGUGAGCGAAGAAGUAUUUCGGUAUGUAAAGCUCUAUCAGCAGGGAAGAAAAUGACGGUACCUGACUAAGAAGCACCGGCUAAAUACGUG